AUGACGGACAACCUAAGGCCUACUCGUCCGGAGGCAACUGAUGUGGCAAACGCAGUGCUGGACGGUAGUGAUGCCAUUCUCCUUGGUGCUGAGACUCUCCGUGGGUUGUAUCCAGUUGAGACUAUUUCAACGCUAGGCAGAAUUUGUGCUGAGGCUGAGAAGGUCUUCAACCAGGAUUUGUACUUCAAGCGAACCAUGAAAUACGUGGGAGAACCCAUGACCCACAAGGAGUCUAUUGCUUCCUCUGCAGCAAGACAAUCACUCAUAGUUAGAGGCCUCUUUCCCAUGCUUGUCGAUCCACGUCACCCAGCUGAAUCUACUAGCACUAGAAAUGAAUCAGUGUUGAAGGUUGCUCUUGACCAUGGCAAACCAUCCGGUGUGAUCAAGUCGCAUGGCUUACCUUAG
rnacentral:rRNA from 1 species